rnacentral:rRNA from 1 species
AACGAACGCUGGCGGCAUGCCUAACACAUGCAAGUCGAACGAGACCUUCGGGUCUAGUGGCGCACGGGUGCGUAACGCGUGGGAACCUGCCUUUAGGUUCGGAAUAACUCAGAGAAAUUUGAGCUAAUACCGGAUGAUGUCUUCGGACCAAAGAUUUAUCGCCUUUAGAUGGGCCCGCGUUGGAUUAGCUAGUUGGUGGGGUAAAGGCCUACCAAGGCGACGAUCCAUAGCUGGUCUGAGAGGAUGAUCAGCCACACUGGGACUGAGACACGGCCCAGACUCCUACGGGAGGCAGCAGUGGGGAAUAUUGGACAAUGGGCGAAAGCCUGAUCCAGCAAUGCCGCGUGAGUGAUGAAGGCCUCAGGGUUGUAAAGCUCUUUUACCCGAGAUGAUAAUGGCAGUAUCGGGAGAAUAAGCUCCGGCUAACUCCGUG